rnacentral:rRNA from 1 species
CCUACGGGGGGCAGCAGUAAGGAAUAUUGGUCAAUGGAGGAAACUCUGAACCAGCCAUCCCGCGUGAAGGAUGAAGGGGCUCUGCCUUGUAAACUUCUUUUGUCUGGGGCGAAAAAGCUCGAUUUAUCGAGAACUGACGGUACCAGAAGAAUAAGCACCGGCUAACUCCGUGCCAGCAGCCGCGGUAAUACGGAGGGUGCAGGCGUUAUCCGGAUUCACUGGUGUUAAGGCGGCCGAGGACGGCAGAGGUGAAAGGCUGGGGCUUAACCAUGGAAGUGCCAUUGAUACUGCAGAGCUUGAAUGAGGUAGAGGUUGGCGGAAUGUGACAUGUAGCGGUGAAAUGCUUAGAUAUGUCAUGGAACACCGAUUGCGAAGGCAGCUGACUGGACCUAUAUUGACGCUGAGGCACGAAAGCGUGGGGAGCGAACAGGAUUAGAUACCCGAGUAGUC